rnacentral:rRNA from 1 species
GACGAACGCUGGCGGCGUGCUUAACACAUGCAAGUCGAACGGAAAGGCCCUGCUUUUGUGGGGUGCUCGAGUGGCGAACGGGUGAGUAACACGUGAGUAACCUGCCCUUGACUUUGGGAUAACUUCAGGAAACUGGGGCUAAUACCGGAUAGGAGCUCCUGCUGCAUGGUGGGGGUUGGAAAGUUUCGGCGGUUGGGGAUGGACUCGCGGCUUAUCAGCUUGUUGGUGGGGUAGUGGCUUACCAAGGCUUUGACGGGUAGCCGGCCUGAGAGGGUGACCGGCCACAUUGGGACUGAGAUACGGCCCAGACUAAUACGGGAGGCAGCAGUGGGGAAUAUUGCACAAUGGGAGGAAGCCUGAUGCAGCAACGCCGCGUGCGGGAUGACGGCCUUCGGGUUGUAAACCGCUUUCGCCUGUGACGAAGCGUGAGUGACGGUAAUGGGUAAAGAAGCACCGGCUAACUACGUG